rnacentral:misc_RNA from 1 species
AAUCUCUCUUCCUUGUAAAAAGAAACCGAAAAAAAGACAGAACUGUGAAAUAACAAACUGCGAGAAACUGAAGGAAACUCGAGACACUUUCGCUUCGCGUAUGGCGAAUCUUCCCCAAUCGCUCUCCAUGAAUUCACCUUUUGGUGCCCCCAGCAUCUCCGCUCCGACCGUAGCCGGUGCUCCUCCUAACAAGGACCGGAAGAUGGCUUCAGCAGAGCACUUGGUGCUUGACCUAAGUAAUCCAGAUCUUCGUGAAAACGCCCUUCUCGAGCUCUCUAAGAAGAGAGAAUUAUUUCAAGAUCUGGCUCCAUUGUUGUGGAAUUCUUUUGGUACUAUUGCUGCACUGUUACAGGAGAUAGUGUCAAUAUAUCCUGUUUUAUCACCACCAAACCUCUCUCCCGCACAAUCAAAUCGAGUUUGCAAUGCUCUUGCUCUUCUACAGUGUGUAGCCUCUCAUCCAGACACGCGGAUGUUGUUCCUGAAUGCUCAUAUACCUUUGUAUCUUUACCCAUUCCUUAAUACAACUAGCAAGUCAAGGCCUUUUGAGUACUUGAG